rnacentral:tRNA from 1 species
GGGAAGGUGGCUCAGUGUUAGAGUGCUUGCCUUGCAUGCAUGAGGCCCUGGGUUCG